rnacentral:tRNA from 1 species
GGGGUAAUAGCUCAUUGGUAGAGAACAUGCUUAUCAUGCACGAGGUCCUGGGUUCUAUCCCCAGUACCCCCA